rnacentral:rRNA from 1 species
CCUACGGGAGGCUGCAGUGGGGAAUAUUGGACAAUGGGCGAAAGCCUGAUCCAGCCAUGUCGCGUGUGUGAAGAAGGCCUUCGGGUUGUAAAGCACUUUCAGUGGGGAAGAAAGCCUUGGGGCUAAUACCCUCGAGGAAGGACAUCACCCACAGAAGAAGCACCGGCUAACUCCGUGCCAGCAGCCGCGGUAAUACGGAGGGUGCGAGCGUUAAUCGGAAUUACUGGGCGUAAAGCGCGCGUAGGCGGUCUGAUAAGCCGGUUGUGAAAGCCCCGGGCUCAACCUGGGAACGGCAUCCGGAACUGUCAGGCUAGAGUGCAGGAGAGGAAGGUAGAAUUCCCGGUGUAGCGGUGAAAUGCGUAGAGAUCGGGAGGAAUACCAGUGGCGAAGGCGGCCUUCUGGACUGACACUGACGCUGAGGUGCGAAAGCGUGGGUAGCAAACAGGAUUAGAUACCCCGGUAGUC